rnacentral:rRNA from 1 species
UACAGGGGGGGCAAGCGUUGUUCGGAAUUACUGGGCGUAAAGGGCUUGUAGGUGGCCAACUAAGUCACACGUGAAAUCCCCAGGCUUAACCUGGGAACUGCGUGUGAUACUGGAUGGCUUGAAUCCGGGAGAGGGAUGCGGAAUUCCAGGUGUAGCGGUGAAAUGCGUAGAUAUCUGGAGGAACACCGGUGGCGAAGGCGGCAUCCUGGACCGGUAUGGACACUGAAAAGCGAAAGCCAGGGGAGCAAACGGG